UUAAACGGUCAUCUCAACAAAUUAAAAUAUAUAUCCCCGAAUAUAAGGUUGGAAGCUAAUUUAAGCUUAGGAUUGAAGAAAUUACUUUAAUGAGCAGGACGUGCACGGAUGGAGAGCAGUUUGCAAGGGUUAAUUUGGUGCGGGUGAGGGUUGUAAUUUUGGCAGGAAGGAAAAACCCCGCGAAAGCCCAAAAAGGAUUCGAGCGGCGUCUGUACUCUGAAGUUUUCUUUGAAGCGUUCAUUUCCGCGAGCAUCCAUCGGAGAAUCGAGGAGGAAAAGACAAUGAGAAUGAGUGGUAAUAGGAUUGCUCAUACGUUCCUACAUCGCGCUCGGUUGCGAGCCACUUCCUCUUCAAUUUCCUCCGUCGAAAGGCCGUCUUCUGCAGCUUUUUGCGCCGAGUCAAGGUCUUUUCGAAGUUCUUGCUCUUCUUCAUCUCGUCAUGUUGAUUUCCAUCGCCAGCAUGCAUUUGCACUUUCUCCCACCGCAAUCCUACGGUUAUUCAGUACCAAUUCCACUAAACACUUUGAAGAUGAAGUGAGAGAACAAAUUCCACUCCAAUAUGAGAAGGAUGAAGGGGGAGAAACCACAGAUGGAUGGGAAGAUGACGAUGAUAUGGAGCCUGAGAUUGGUGAUGGAGGGGGUGGUGGUGGUGUUGUUUUGCAAGGCGUGCCUUGGGGUGAACAUGUUCUCUCUCUUGCUCAUGAGGUCCUGCUGCAAUUUGGCGAUGACAUAAAACUCUAUUCCUUUAAGACUACUCCCCGUGGAUAUAUCUAUGUCAGAUUAGACAAGCUCUCAAACGAAUUUGGGUGUCCAAGCUUGGAGGAUCUUGAAAGUUAUACCCAAGAGUACAAGAAAAGAUUAGGUGCAACUGGGGCACUGGGAAAGAUUCCCGAUGAUUUAGCUCUUGAGGUAUCAUCUCCAGGUGCAGAGAGAUUACUGAAGGUCCCAGAUGAUCUGUUUAGAUUUAAAGCCAUGCCAAUGCAAGUUUCCUAUUUAGAAGAUGUAGUCCCGGGAGGCACUGAAAAUGAUGGAGUUUUUAUUUUGGAUCACGUGGAAACGGAAUCUAAGAGCUGUGUCUGGAAAUUGGCAAACGUAAGGGAAAAUCGAGAUCCUUUAAGCAAGGGUAGGCCGUUGACUCGUAAGCAGAAAGAAUGGAGGUUAGAAUUACCCUAUGCAAAUCAUAAGAAGGUAUUCCUUUACCUUGAAUGCUGAAAAAUAGCACCUCAGGGUCCUAAAGAAAGGAUGCGUAUUCUGUGUACUUAUGAGGAUGCAUUGAAACAGAGGUAGAGCCAAGAUAUGUAGGGCAAUCAAAAGGAGAUGUCCAUGUUGCCAUGCUGGGCAGGCCCCCUGGCUGUGGAGAUAGAUAACCCAUUAUGGAUCAGUGGACCACUGAGUUGUUUUAUUAUUUCUUAUAAAGAAAUUCAUGUUGGUAUCAUGUGCAUUGGACACACCAUUUUCACUAAUUGACAAAAACCGUAUUAGGUCAUCCAACCCCAUUUAAGCGUAGUCAUUCUGGUUCCUGCAUGAACAGGUCUCUUUCAUGACUACCUACUUCUGUACAUUUUGCACCUCUUCUCAAUAAAGAGUUGCCUGACGUCAUAAGAAAACAACUUGGGAAAUUUUAUUGCUGUUCAUAUUUCCAAUGUGGCUUAUUCUUGGCUUGUUUUGUUAGGGUUGCAGGACCAAGCUUCCUCUGAUAAGGAAAUAUCUAGCAAACUGUAGAUGCUUUCUGAGAAUUCUUUUGGGGGAGGGGGGGAAAAAGAAUUCAUGUGAUUGGUAAAGGUGCUUGUUUUCUGUUGUUGUGGUGUGCCAUUUCGGUGGUGGUGAUAUAUUUUGCUCAGAAAUCUAAUAAAGGGGUAGAAAGUAGAAAGUAGAAAGCAGAAAGAGAGGUUGAUAAAUUGGGAUUCUUUUCUGACAGCUCGUUCCUCUUUAUCCACUCAUGAAACUAGCGAGGUCUUGGGAAAAAAAAAA